rnacentral:rRNA from 1 species
GACGAACGCUGGCGGCGUGCUUAACACAUGCAAGUCGAACGGAAAGGCCCUGCUUUUGUGGGGUGCUCGAGUGGCGAACGGGUGAGUAACACGUGAGUAACCUGCCCUUGACUUUGGGAUAACUUCAGGAAACUGGGGCUAAUACCGGAUAGGAGCUCCUGCUGCAUGGUGGGGGUUGGAAAGUUUCGGCGGUUGGGGAUGGACUCGCAGCUUAUCAGCUUGUUGGUGGGGUAGUGGCUUACCAAGGCUUUGACGGGUAGCCGGCCUGAGAGGGUGACCGGCCACAUUGGGACUGAGAUACGGCCCAGACUCCUACGGGAGGCAGCAGUGGGGAAUAUUGCACAAUGGGCGAAGCCUGAUGCAGCAACGCCGCGUGCGGGAUGACGGCCUUCGGGUUGUAAACCGCUUUCGCCUGUGACGAAGCGUGAGUGACGGUAAUGGGUAAAGAAGCACCGGCUAACUACGUG